GUAAGUCAACCUAGAACGAUGCUGACUUUGCCAGGUUUUUCCUAACAUGGUUUGUACAAAUCUCAAGGGGCUGAGUCACUGGCUUAUUGGUGCUCUUCCAUGCCGUCCCUAGGAGUGGUGCGUCACUUGAGUGGGUUGAGUCACUAACGUGGUCUUCCUGUCUGGGUUGGCGCCCCCCCUUGGGUUGUGCCGUGGCGGAGAUCUUUGUGGGCUAUACUCGGCCUUGUCUCAGGAUGGUAAGUUGGUGGUUGAAGAUAUCCCUCUAGUGGUGUGGGGGCUGUGCUUUGGCAAAGUGGGUGGGGUUAUAUCCUUCCUGUUUGGCCCUGUCCGGGGGUAUCAUCGGAUGGGGCCACAGUGUCUACUGACCCCUCCUGUCUCAGCCUCCAGAAUUUAUGCUGCAGUAGUUUGUGUCGGGGGGCUAGGGUCAGUCUGUUAUAUCUGGAGUAUUUCUCCUAUCUUAUCUGGUGUCCUGUGUGAAUUUAAGUAUGCUCUCUCUAAUUCUCUCUUUCUUUCUCUCUCUCUGAGGACCUGAGCCCUAGGACCAUGCCUCAGGACUACCUGGCAUGAUGACUCCUUGCUGUCCCCAGUCCACCUGGCCGUGCUGCUGCUCCAGUUUCAAUUGUUCUGCCUGCGGCUAUGUAACCCGGACCUGUUCACCGGACGUGCUACCUGUCCCAGACCUGCUGUUUUCAACUCUCUAAAGACAGAAGUAGCGGUAGAGAUACUCUGAAUGAUCGGCUAUGAAAAGCCAACUGACAUUUACUCUUGAGGUGCUGACUUGUUGCACCCUCGACAACUACUGUGAUUAUUAUUAUUUGACCAUGCUGGUCAUUUAUGAACAUUUGAACAUCUUGGCCAUGUUCUGUUAUAAUCUCCACCCGGCACAGCCAGAAGAGGACUGGCCACCCCUCAUAGCCUGGUUCCUCUCUAGGUUUCUUCCUAGGUUUUGGCCUUUCUAGGGAGUUUUUCCUAGCCACCGUGCUUCUACACCUGCAUUGCUUUCUGUUUGGGGUUUUAGGCUGGGUUUCUGUACAGCACUUUGAGAUAUCAGCUGAUGUAAGAAGGGCUAUAUAAAUACAUUUGAUUUGAUUCCUGGUUCUUUAUAAAAUGGCUGCUGUCAAAAUUAGCAGUGAAGAAGUGUGUGUAAUUAUGAAUGAUCAUUUUUCUGAGUGUGAUAUUCAAAUGUUUUCUAGUAAGUGAAUGUCUCAGGAAUAGUUAAGUCGUCAAGACUGUGUAAUAAUGUUUUCACAUUAAAUAAUAACUAUCAAGAAAUGUCCUCUGUAGUGGACACCCGGAUGCCGUAACAAUUUUUUUCACUUACUGUACCCAUUGACUAAUGUAUUUUUUUUCUUUCACAUUUUCGUCCUAAUGACCACUACAGAGGAAAAUGGUGCACUUUUAAUAAAAGAUAAAUAACAAUA
rnacentral:lncRNA from 1 species